rnacentral:rRNA from 1 species
UACGGGGGGGGCAAGCGUUGUUCGGAAUUACUGGGCGUAAAGGGCUCGUAGGCGGCCAACUAAGUCAGACGUGAAAUCCCUCGGCUUAACCGGGGAACUGCGUCUGAUACUGGAUGGCUCGAGUUUGGGAGAGGGAUGCGGAAUUCCAGGUGUAGCGGUGAAAUGCGUAGAUAUCUGGAGGAACACCGGUGGCGAAGGCGGCAUCCUGGACCAACACUGACGCUGAUGAGCGAAAGCUAGGGGAGCAAACGGG